rnacentral:misc_RNA from 1 species
UGUGGGAGCUGGCUUGCCUGCGAUAGCGGUGGGUCAGUCAACUAAUCUGUCACUGAUACACCGCUAUCGCAGGCAAGCCAGCUCCCACA